UACGGAGGAGGCAAGCGUUAUCCGGAAUUAUUGGGCGUAAAGCGUCCGUAGGUGGUUGGCCAAGUCUGCUGUCAAAGGGUGGGGCUUAACCUCAUAAAGGCAGUGGAAACUGGCGAGCUAGAGUGUGGUAGGGGUAAGGGGAAUUCCCAGUGUAGCGGUGAAGUGCGUAGAGAUUGGGAAGAACAUCGGUGGCGAAAGCGCCUUGCUGGGCCUGCACUGACACUGAGGGACGAAAGCUAGGGGAGCGAAAGGG
rnacentral:rRNA from 1 species